UUUACUGUCGGCCGACUUUAAUUAAAACAUUUCAUUAGGUACCUAUUUUAAAUUUGAACAGAAAUUCAGAAUAUACAUUGAACAUUCGUACAGUGUUGUAUUCUUACGUUUCAGUAAAAAAUUGACAUGCAUAAGUGUGUUCUUUUUAGUAAAACAUCCUAAGCAUCGCCUCGCCACAUUACCUUAAUUUUCAUUAAUUUCCAAAAAAAUGAAAAUAAAAGGAAAUAAUGGCUGAAAAUCUUCAAAUUAAAUGAUUACCUAAUUUCUAUCUAGAGCAGGAUCUGCAGUAAUCAUUUCACAAUCAGUGAUUAUAAACAAGGCUCAGUAUGUAGUAGAUAUUAUGGCCAGAGGCUGUCACAAAACAUAAUCCAAACCACUUGGAAAACUAGCUAUUAUUAUCUAAGAAAAAAUUAUACUUCUCCAACGAUGGAGAAAUAAAAGAUUUGGAGACAUUACGGUUGAUGAUUUUAAACUAUUCACCCAGGAAAGCCUUAAAAACUAUCUAAUUCACACACACUUAUUUCAUACAGUGGAUUAUACUUAUUAUGGUUUUCAAAACUAAAAUAUAUGAUUCCCACAUACAAGGAACUAGGUAGUCGAGGCAAUGUGUUGACAAUUUUUUGGAUGUGACUUUCUUUAAUAUAAUUCUGGCGGCUUAGAUGAAGCCAUACAAUAUUGGAGCUAAUUAUGAAACUUAAAGAGUUUACACACAUAUUUUGCCUGUGUCUUGUUCUAAACAAUUGGAUCAAAAGCCACUUCCAGCUGUUAUUACACAUAUAAUUUGUGAAGUCAUAACUAUCGUACAAGAUUUUUUGACAAACGCUUCACUUGUCAAAAUGGUACGCAUGAGCUGUGAAUAAAUAUAUAUUGAAGAUGUUGCUGAUACGAUGUUAAAACAAUCGGGGUGUCCUAUAUACAUACAAAUGCAGUUUACUGGUCAUCAAACCUGUUCCCAUUCAUGGAACUUACUUCUCAACAAGGAAAGACUAACUACUUUGAAAGAAAACUAUGCAAACACCAAUUACCUUCAGUUGCACUCUGAAUCAUAAUUGUGAAUAAAAUUAUUUGUCAAAGACUUAUUUAUAAUUAUAAGAAAACUUUAUUUUUUAAUUUUAUAAUUGAAGAGAAAAGUAUUU
rnacentral:lncRNA from 1 species